AACGCACAUUGCGCCCGGUGGCACUCCGCCGGGCAUGCCCGUUCGAGCGUCAUUUCAACCCUCAGGCCCUGCCUGGCGUUGGGGUUCCGCGGUCGCGCGGUCUCCGAAAAGCAGUGGCGGGCUCCGCCGCGGUCCCGAACGCAGUAAAACACCUCGUUCGUGGUUCCCAGCGGGCCUGGCCGUUAAACCCGGCGGCGUACGCGCCCCGAACUCCACACGAGUUGACCUCGGAUCGGGUAGGAAUACCCGCUGAACUUAA
rnacentral:misc_RNA from 1 species